GUGAGGAAUAUUGGUCAAUGGGCGCAAGCCUGAACCAGCCAUCCCGCGUGCAGGAAGACGGCCCUAUGGGUUGUAAACUGCUUUUCCAGAAGGCGAAACGCUCUGACGUGUCAGGGUUUGACGGUAUUUUGGGAAUAAGCAUCGGCUAACUCCGUGCCAGCAGCCGCGGUAAUACGGAGGAUGCGAGCGUUAUCCGGAUUCAUUGGGUUUAAAGGGUGCGUAGGCGGACUAUUAAGUCAGUGGUGAAAUCCUCCCGCUUAACGGGAGAACUGCCAUUGAUACUGAUAGCCUUGAGUUUGGUUAAGGUAGGCGGAAUGUGUAAUGUAGCGGUGAAAUGCUUAGAUAUUACACAGAACACCGAUUGCGAAGGCAGCUUACUGGACCGACACUGACGCUGAGGCACGAAAGCGUGGGGAUCGAACAGGAUUAGAAACCCCAGUAGUCC
rnacentral:rRNA from 1 species